AUUGAACGCUGGCGGCAUGCUUUACACAUGCAAGUCGAACGGCAGCGCGGGCUUCGGCCUGGCGGCGAGUGGCGAACGGGUGAGUAAUGCAUCGGAACGUGCCCAGUAGUGGGGGAUAGCCCGGCGAAAGCCGGAUUAAUACCGCAUACGACCUGAGGGUGAAAGCGGGGGACCGAAAGGCCUCGCGCUAUUGGAGCGGCCGAUGUCGGAUUAGCUAGUUGGUGGGGUAAAGGCUUACCAAGGCGACGAUCCGUAGCUGGUCUGAGAGGACGACCAGCCACACUGGGACUGAGACACGGCCCAGACUCCUACGGGAGGCAGCAGUGGGGAAUUUUGGACAAUGGGGGCAACCCUGAUCGAGCCAUGCCGCGUGCGGGAAGAAGGCCUUCGGGUUGUAAACCGCUUUUGUUCGGGAAGAAAUCCUCUGGGCUAAUACCCCGGGGGGAUGACGGUACCGGAAGAAUAAGCACCGGCUAACUACGUG
rnacentral:rRNA from 1 species